UGCUUAUAACAAAUCCAGCGCAGCGAAAGCAGAAUGUUUUUUAAUUGCCAAACCAUUUCACCCUUUGUUCUCGCAAUAGUACAGUCAGGGGCAACAUGGCGCUUGGCAGGGUCGGCGGCUGCAUCCGAAUACUGCUUCACGAUUGUCCCUCAAAAGGAUUACUUUGUGGCCGCAUACAAUCGGACUGUAUGGCAUGCAGAGUAGGAGGUAUAUGAAUAACUUAUUUUAUGGUUAUGGUGCAGUACCUUGUCGACAAACCACCACACGAGGAAUCUGUCUCAAUCAAUGUCACUGUUUGUAUUUUUUUAUUUCACCUUUAUUUAACCAGGUAGGCUAGUUGAGAACAAGUUCUCAUUUGCAACUGCGACCUGGCCAAGAUAAAGCAUAGCAGUGUGAACAGACAACACAGAGUUACACUGUGACAGCGGUUGAGAUGUCUUUUCUUGUCCGGUUUUCAUAUUUAGCCUGGAACUAUUUCACAUUUCUAGACGAAUUUGUAAUGCAUGCACUCAAUUUCCACAAGUUGUUCAGCUCAAUGGGCAAGUACAGUAACACAGUACUCCUGUCAGAGACGGUCGAGAAUAUCUAGUCUAAUAUCAUCUCUGCUCCUGUUGCUCCAUUCAUUUCAGCAAAAAUGCAUCUAUUGUCAGAGUAUGUUGUCAAACCAGAAUUUCAGCAGCCGAAACAGGCAGUGGCUCAUCAAGUGUCCCGGAUCAAAAAGUUGGCUACUCAAGUUUUAAUGUGACAUGGACAAGUACAGUGACAUGCCUCUCUUGCAAGCUCCAAAUACAACAAUGCAGUAAAUGCAGCACUAAACACAAGGUAGAACAUUGUGUUAUUUUGGGGUAUUGUGAACAAAAACACACAAUAAAUUAAAAUAAGAACACAAGAAAGUAAGAAGCUAUAUACAGGGUCAGUCACAAUACCAUAUUUACAUUGUGCAGGGGAUACUGGAGUGAUAGAGGUAGAUAUGUAUAGGCGUAAGGCGACUAGGCAACAGGGUAUAUGAUAAACAGCUUGUCGGUUGUAAGAAAUGAUAGCAGAUACAUUUUGUUAAAAUAAAGUAAAGACAAACGGCAAAAGAUUCAACUUGGAUUAGCUAACACAACGUGCCAUUGGAACACAGGAGUGAUGGUUGCUGAUCAUGGGCCUCUGAACACCUAUGUAGAUAUUAUAUAAAAAAUCUGCCGUUUCCAGCUACAAUAGUCAUUUACAACAUUAACAAUGUCUAUAAUGUAUUUCUGAUCAAUUUGAUGUUAUUUUAUUGGACAAAAAAUUAGCUUUUCUUUCAAAAACAAGGACAUUUCUAAGUGACCCCAAACUUUUGAAUGGUAGUGUAUGUGUGUUCAAUCUAUCUAUCUAUCUAGAUAUUUGCAAAUAUAUCUAUCUAUCUAUCUAUCUAGAUAUUUGCAAAUAUAUCGAUCGAUAGAUAGAUGGAUAGAUAUAUUUGCAAAUAUCUAGAUAGAUAGAUAGAAAUAUUUGCAAAUGUAUUAAUGAAGCAUAGUGGUGGCAGCAUCAUGCGGUGCAGAUGUUUUUCAGCGCAGGUACUGGGAGACUAGUCAGGAUCGAGGGAAAGAUGAACGGAGCAAAGUACAGAGAGAUCAUGAAAACCUGCUCCAGAGCGCUUAGGACCUCAGACUGGGGCGAAGAUUCACCUUUCAACAGGACAAUGACCCUAAGAACACAACCAAGACAACGCAAGAGUGCCUUUGGGACAAGUCUCUGAAUGUCCUUGAGUGGCCCUACCAGAGCCUGGACCUUAACCCGAUCGAACAUCUCUGGAGAGACCUGAUAAUAUCUGUGCAGCGACGUUCCCCAUCCAACGUGACAGAUUUUGAGAGGAUAUGCAGAGAAGAAUGGGAGAAACUCCGCCAAAUACAGGUCAUUAUUUGGAGGUAUUCAAUCGGAAGCUAAAGAAGAACGAGUUAAUAUUGAAGGAUGGCCUGAAACUGCUUCUACACCUAUGCCAAUCUGCAGAGGACAUGGUCACAGCCAGAGGUGCCAUCUACAGCUAUGGGUCACACAGUAAAAUACUAGUUUCUCACUAAUAUAUUGUGGCCACUGGCCAGAUGAGUAUCCUGACAAUUAGCUGUCAAAACAGACCUGAAGAUCAAGUCUACUCAUCAGCUGUGUUACGGACAGAUAAAGCAUUAGUUUGAAAUAAUUGAAUGCAAUCUUGGAGUUUGACUAAUGUUGUCAUUCUUUCUUAGUUAUGGUUCUGUAUUAUUUACGUGUAUGUUUGUGUGUUCUGCAUGUUCGUUCCACUGACCAGGGACCACGAAGAGAACAGUAACGUAGCAUUUGGAGAGUUUAAGUUUGGUCCCCCGUUCAUGAGGCUGUGCUAUGAGCUGGGGCUGGAGGACAUGGCUGCUGCCACUCUGACAGACAAGGACAUGAGAGGAUUAUUUUCGGACUCAACCUCCUUCAAUAUUGCCAUAGACAUGUUGUUUAUGAAAGGAUUAUAUGAGAGUAGGUGGCAUCCUUUUACUAUUAGAAGGCAGACACAUUAAACUAUAAAGGUACAUUUUUUUAGAUGACUGAUCUUUGUCAUCACUAAACAAUGUCUAUUAUACUAGGUUCUCUGAAUGUACUAAGAGACAUCUAUCUCUCUCUCUCUCUCUCUCUGGCAUACAAAUGUGUUUAAAUAUAUUUUAUUCUCCUUCCAGAGUGAUGUUGAAAAAGCACAAUCUAUUUUCGGUCAGAUUAUGAGCAUUGACAGCGGAAUAUGUCAAAAUCUCAAAGUGCUGAUGCUGGCUAUGGCAGGAGCUGUGAAAGAAUCACUCUCUGUCUUGACCUUAACAUUGGGAUCCAGCAGCCCUGCAUUUAUAAAGAAGCCUGAAUUCGCACAGGAAGUGGUGGACUUAGUGCGUCUUCGGAGCGAGGACAGCCCUCUGAUGGCGAGCGUGGAGCAGGCAGUGCCCACCUCCAGCAGGCAGGUCAGGUGACCCAACGAAACCUGUUGUGUCAUACCCCCAUGGGGAAGAAGAGGAUGCCCAUGGGGAGAAUGGACGAGAGAAGGAUCGGCCAGAGGACUCUGAGGCCUCUGCAGUCAGAGUGAAUGGGACUAGGUGUAUCUCUCAGCGUGUUUGAGGGGAUCAAGGUGAGGCGCAGAAUUGUGAAUCUUGAUCAAGUACUGAGUAGGUUUUUGGGAGGGGAUUUGCAGAUCAGUGAUUCUGCGCAGUCCGAGUGCAAUGUAGUCGAUUUUAAACAAACAUUGUUUCAUUCUAAACUCUGCCUUAAUUGUACCAGUCCCUGUCACAGCCAUGGGGGUCUGCUCUCACACCACCCAAGCAGGCUGAACAGAGAUGCGCUCUCUCCCUACACCCAGACCUGGACUUUAUAGAGACCUAUAGUGUACCAUUCAGUGCAAUGUACCUCUCCUCUCAGCCAGAGACCCUUCUGUAUUCCUCCUUUUUGAUCAUAUUCUUCACUCGUUCACAUGCAAUGGUACAGGUAUACUAGUUGGUUCUACGUCUGGGGAGCCCCUUCAGAGCAUUUCAGACUUUUAACUGCUGACUGUGGAAAGGUUUGUUGAAUCCAAGGGACACCAAUGUGUGCAAAAGAAGAAUAUAAUGGUGUAUGUGAGACAGAUAUGUAUAAACAUGUAAUUAUUUGUGAUUUAUAGGAUAAUACAUAUUGAAUGAAAUAAAAGCUGAUGUAGAACUCUUUAUUA